CUUUUUAUUGUCGCGCUUAUCUUUUAUUAGAGUCCUGCGGCGGUCGUACGCUCGCAAUGCAUACCGCCGCAUGACAGUCGCAAGGCAAAACAAAAGAAAAAGUGUUCCCGCCAAAAACAAAAGCACGUGGGUUUCGCGAAGUGACAGAUGUUUUUGAAUGUAUUUGUGACGAACGGCAAGAGUAGCUCAGUGGAAUGAGUGUUCUUGCUGUCAAACCCCAUAUAGUGGAAUUAUAUACUUCUAAAUCUGGUGACGCUGUUAUGAUUAGUGACUGUCGCGCUAAUAUCAGAAGCCAGAGGCAGAUAAUCGCCAUAUUCUGAUUUUUCUUGAGAGGCGUAAUAUCGAUGAUCGACGAAAUAUGUUGAAAGACAUCCCCAAAACUGCAAUUUUCAUUCAGCACACGCAACACUUUGCAGUUUGACAUUGGUGCCAGAUCACACUUUGGCAAAAAACGGCAGAAAUUCUGAGGAGCUGUGAGGAAUUCUGAACAACACCUCGAACACAGAUUUGCUCUAGUUAGAUCUGUCUUGCCCCUAGACUCCUUCCCAGACGGAAGGAGUCUUUCCGGGGAAUCAUUUGUUCUUGCCUACCGGCCUACUCCACUGCCCUUCCGUCAGGAAGUCUUACCGGGGGAAUAUUUGUUGUUCACCUUCCGGCCUACUCCACUGAUCUUCCGUCAGGGAGUCUUACCGGGGGAAUCUUUUCUUUUUACCUCCCGGCCUACUCCACUGAUCUUUUGUCAGGAAGUCUUACCGGGGGAAUAUUUUAUUUUUCACCUUCCAGCCUACUCCACUGAUCUUCCGUCAGAGAGUCUUACCGGGGGAAUCUUUUCUUUAUACCUCCCGGCCUACUCCACUGAUCUUCUGUCAGGGAGUCUUACCGGGGGAAUCUUUACGUUUUCUCCUCCCGGCCUACUCCGAGGCGCUUCCGUCAGGGAGUUUUACCGGGGGAAUCUUUUUCCUUUUCACAAUAAUACAAACCUAUUAUUACUUUACAAUACAGUGGGAGCGCUACGGCUCCAAACCGGCUGCACCAUUGUGGUAUCCGGUCACUUUUUUUUUUUAAACCAUUCGGCCGAUCCGCCAUCAGCCGAAUUGGUUUUCUAAAUUUCAACGCGCACGACGACGAACAUCCGUCCGUCACAACAAUAUUCACUAAACUGAAGCAUCCUCAUCUAUCAGGCACGAGUCAAUGUAUCUGACGUUUAGGGUGCAUUACAGGCGUUAGCCCGUGAGCACUUUUAUAAAAUUCCAUUCAUGCACGCUCAGAUAAACGCAUGCGUGUACGCCAAGAAAAUGCAAUACAAAAUAAAACUAAGAAUAUAUCGCUUUUUCUACUCUGUCAUCUCUGGAUACUACACAAUGUAAAUUCAGUCCUUAAAUUAGUCAUAUCUAACGGGAUCCGGAUUCCUCUUCGACUGCGGAAACGCUGAAAACACCCGGCUUGCUCCAUAGUGGUUUUAUGUCGGGUUUCUCCUUCAAUGAAAGGUGGGCUAAUGGGAAUAAAUAAAAGGGGGUAAAGGUUCGGCAACAUUAUUAACUUUAACAUUAGAACAUCCAUAAAACUUACCUGCUAGUUCAGAUAGUAAUGUCCUUGCUCGUCUUUCAUAAGAACUACAAAAUCCAAAAUGUCCUAAAAUCUUGCCAAAUAUGAUUCAGUGGUCACUCGCACAAAGUACCUACGAGAAUAAAUAUGGUUGCCGUCGACAGAGCUUAGAACAGACGACAUCGAUGUCACGAUAACAUUGUAGUAACGAACCAAAAUAUUAGUUUGUAUUGAACCAAAACUCCGGUUGUUUUUUCUACAAAUAAAAUGUCGGUUUGAUUCAACCGGCACGUUUUGUUGAACCAAACUACACGAUUGGUUUGAUUCCUCAUAGGAGCUUGCAUAGGAGAUGAACAAACUUGAAAUUGGCAAAAACAAACUACAUGUUUGUUGAAAAACAACUAACAUGAUGGUUUGAAAAAACUUUUAUUUCGUUUGUUAUAGAAAUAUGGCCAUUAGUAGAAACAACAAAAUCAGGCGUUUGUUUCAAACCGAAAAAGGAGGUUUGAACCAACAAAAUUUUGGGUAAUAAUAACUAUUUUUCAUGUGGUAAAAUCAAUAAACAGGUUUGUUAUUUCAAACCGGUCUCAUUUUUCUCCGUGAGAGACUUGGUAUGAUAUUUUAAAGUUGGCCGUAUAUCAGCCGAAUAAUUCGCCAAAAGUGGCUUUUGAGCAGCUCUAUAAGAGGAUAUAGAACCAAUUAGCUCUGUUAGCCAGGUUCUACAUUCGACUAUAGAGCCGACUUAAUGCCAUUUUUACGGCUUAAUGGUUACUUGGGGCCUUUCAAUCGGCGUGCACUUUUGUUUGAGGAAAAAUUUGCGCUAGUGUUCGUGUGUUGAAAUGUCACUUAUCUCUAUACUGGGCAUCACGUGUUUUUGUUUACACAGCGUUUGAUCAAGACGCCACGACGCCGGCUGUAUAAAUGUCAUGACGGGCUAAACGUCACUUUCAAUUUGAUACUAGCGAUCACUGCAAUGAAUUUACCGUGUAAUGUUUUCGGUCAAGUCUCGGAAUCGAGUGGCACGUCGGUUUAGUCGGUGGUACAACGGUAACUGCGAGUUCUAUCAACCGUAUUCGACACAAGCGUCCAUUAUCCCGAGCACGUUAAUGUUCGUAUUGCAAUAGCUCACGAGAUUCGCAUCGCAUUGCCGCAGUUUCGCUGCCUGGAACAUUUGCUUCUAGCCUAGCUUCCAGCAGUUCGCACUCACGAUGGUGACAGGCGAUCCCGUGUCCACCUCGAAACGCAUCGGUACUCCGUUCACGCGCACUUUCAUCCAAAUUUUCGCAUUGUCCGAAAUGGUGUUUACCGAACACACCUCGCGCACAUCGGGUUUCGCAUCACUAUAGUCAUUUGCGGAAUUGUCCACGAAAUUCGUUUGCACAGCACUUUGUCGGUGCUAAUAUUGCUUAUCCAGAGAAAUCUUCCAACCUGGCGGAGUGAAGAAGACAAAGAAGACCUGUUCCGCAAACGUCAAACUGCUGCACACUUCAAAAAGGGUGUCAGGCCAUUUGGCCGAAGGUCAUUAGGCCGAAUGGUCAUUAGGCCGAAUGGUCAUUGGGUCUUCUUCUUGCCGUUACGUCCCCAUUGAGACAAAGCCUGCUUCUCAGCUAUGAACACUUCCACAGUUAUUAACUGAGAGCUUCCUCUGCAAAUGACCAUUUUGCAUGUGUAUAUCGUGUGACAGGCACGAAGAUACUUUAUGCUGAAUCUACUGAUAUUUUACCCAUGAUUUUUUCCUUCUUUUAAGGAGAAACAUCAGAGGAUACAAAUAUGGCUGGCACAAUGGCCGACUUGGACCCCUAUUCACGUUUUCAAGAGCAUCAAUCUUAAAAAUUCGUAAACAAAUGCGCUCGAUUUGCAAAAGCCCCAAGUAACCAUGACACUUUAUAUAGAGCAUUAUUUUCGCUUUAUAGUGUAAAGCCUGUAUCCGCAAUAAUCGGGACACAGAAGAACGGCAGUAACUCUAUACUGAAUCGAUAAAAAUUGGCCAAAAAUUAACUGAGAACUCUUCAAUGUAUGUUUAUUAUUUGUGCAAAAUUUCAUAAAAAUCGAUGCAUUACUUUUAACUGUGGAUGAGAAACAAACAGACGUGGUUUUUAAGAUUUUGUACAAUCAUGACCAAAUUUCAUUUGCAUAAUAGGUGGUUCUUUUCGGCUAAAAUUCAAAGUUCUGUAAGGAUAAUUUCGAAAUUUCGUAAGCAGUUAUGAUACUCAUAGAGACACUUUCCGUCAAAAUUUCAUCAACUUUUAUCAAUUGGAUUGGUAGUUACUGCUGUUGAUAGGGGGUAGUGUCAGUGAACAUGUUUCAUGUUUUUCAUGUGCGAUGUUUGCCCAUUCAUUACUUUUGAAUGUCUCUGUCAAUUUUCAUGAAAUUUUCACAGAAGGUAGUUGAUUAUGUGUGUAUUAUGCCUGAAAAAUUUGAUGAUUAUUGGUAGAGUACUUUCAACAAUAUAAUCAAAACAAUACGGGCUGCUGACUAAUUGUAGUCUGAGGGGCUAAAAUCACGUUUGGCCCCAUUAUAUGUUUCGACUAUAAAAUUGUUGAUAGUGCAUCGAUUUUUCUGAAAUUUUGUCUAUGGAAGUAAAGUAGAUUGAGAGGUUUAUGUUCAAAAUUUCAAUCAUUUCCUUUAUCAAAUUCAAAAGUUACAGCGUUGACAAGCUAAACCAGGGGCUGUACAAAAUUCAAUUGCACGCGUUCUACUGUUUCAUUGCUACAACAAAACGUACUGCACCGAUUCACAUGAAAUUUUGCCGGUGAAAUUAACACAUCUUAAGAUAUUAUCAUCAGGUCAAAUUUAGGCAAUUUUAAUUUAUCUAUUGCAGAGUAACAGCUAUAUUUCUGUGUCCCGAUUAUUGCGGAUACAGGCUUUAUUAUAUGACAUGCGAUAUAAAGUUGUUUUGUCAUAUAGGCACCAUUAAAGUAGGUUUAAAGUCGAAAGUGGCGCUACUAUUGUUGAUUUACAGCAAGCUUUACUGUGGUGAUUGCUAAAGCAUAUAACAUGCUUGUACCUUAUAGCUAAUGCAAUCAAAUCGCAUGGAAUGCACACUUAAUGCAUCAUGUCAAAAAAGAAAAAAAGUAUGUUUAUCAUUUUUCUAUAUAUUUUUAUCUUCCAAUACUCUCACUUUGAUGUUUUUUAUUGUAUUUCGGGAAUUGAACCUAGACUGCUGAAACUGACCACGAUGAAACUCGGACGCGCUAAUGCUGUGUGCUACGAUACCAUGUAUUUUGCACUUGGAAAAAUGUGCAACAUAAAGUAAAGUAUACUUCCCAAGUAACCAUUAAGCCGUAAAAAUAGCAUUAAGUCGGCUCUAUAGUCGAAUGUAGAACCUGGCUAACAGAGCUAAUUGGUUCUAUAUCCUCUUAUAGAGCUGCUCAAAAGCCACUUUUGGCGAAUUAUUCGGCUGAUAUACGGCCAACUUUAAAAUAUCGUACACUGACAAAAUUGCAAACGUAAAUUUUAUUUAACUAACAAAUUUACAAUUUAUAAGACUCCCCAAUGAUUAGUUUUAAAUACACCAACAUGAAAAUCAUAACCGUUUUAUUACUGUGUAUGCGGUUAGCUAUAACACUUAUGCACACCCCUUAUGUUAUUCAUAACAGCGCAAACAUAAAAAGUAUUAAUGCCCUGCUAUAGUAAAACAUUAUGUUUCUCCACACUUAAUUUCGAAGUUUGACCGAUUUGACCUGGACUCCUGUUCGGAAACAAAACAACAGGUUUCGCGCCAAAAGCAACGUUGGAAAAUUGUUCGGCUAAGUCGUUUGAAGCUGUACCAUUUCAAAAGGUAAUAGGAAAAGCGAGUUCCGGCUGUUCCGGACCAGAAACUCGGAAAAUUACCGGUGAAUAUAAUCAACCGAAAAGUCACCGUAAAAACUGAAGCAUCCUUUUAUGUCCUCCAAAACUACCCAAGUAACCAUGACGCUUUAUAUAGAGCAUUAUUUUCGCUUUAUAGUGUAUUAUAUGACAUGCGAUAUAAAGUUGUUUUGUCAUAUAGGCACCAUUAAAGUAGGUUUAAAGUCGAAAGUGGCGCUACUAUUGUUGAUUUACAGCAAGCUUUACUGUGGUGAUUGCUAAAGCAUAUAAAAUGCUUGUACCUUAUAGCUAAUGCAAUCAAAUCGCAUGGAAUGCACACUUAAUGCAUCAUGUCAAAAAUGAAAAAAAGUAUGUUUAUCAUUUUUCUAUCUAUUUUUAUCUUCCGAUACUCUCACUUUGAUGCUUUUUAUUGUAUUUCGGGAAUUGAACCUAGACUGCUGAAACUGACCACGAUGAAACUCGGACGCGCUAAUGCUGUGUGCUACGAUACCAUGUAUUUUGCACCUGGAAAAAUGUGCAACAUAAAGUAAAGUAUACUUAGCUAGUGCCUUAUUGAGUUGUGUUUUCAGCAACUCUAAAAAAUGUGCCGGGGUCUGAAUGCCAUCAGUUAUGUUACUCUCGAAUAUAAAUUCGUCUGUGUUGAUUCUGUUUUUUUUUGUUUUCAUAUGUGCUCACUUCUACCUAAAAUACAAUAAAUAAGAAACAAUACAAACAGCGCUUCAAUUCUUCCUUUUAUGAAAUCGGGUUAAACAAGGAAACCGAUACCCCACAUAAUUUUUGUUCCCUCAGCAUCUGAUUAUUUUCAUGUCCCAACCAGAAACCCAAAAAACCAUACAUAAUAUAAAUUUUCACACAGCAACAUCAGAGCAUGAUAAUCUAAGUGCUCCGCAGCAAUCCAUGAAAAUUUUGGUUUGUUUUGAAUGGUUCUGUUUCUAAAAGUGUUUUACAUUUUUUUUUUUCGAACUGAGCGAUAUUUUUCUGUUUACAACGAUGGAAGCUUUAGUAAAGGCACAUAUAAAGUAAUUGUAAGUAUUGGGUAGUCAGUCGGGAGUACUACAGAGACUCCCCGACUCAAUGGCCUCAGGGUCGGCACGUUCACUACACGUUACUCGCGGGCAGGUAGUUCUCACAUAAAAUGGAGGAAAACCACAGCACUUUUACACUUUCUACACCAGUUUAUUGCUCAACUACGCUUUAUUCCUAGGCUAUUCCUGGCACUUUCUACUCCCACUUUCUUAAUUCUAUCUGACCUGUUCUUUGCGGGGCCCCUUCUCCUUCUGCUCCACCACCUCUCCUUCCUCGUCUCCAACGGUGACUCGCGUGCGGGCGUGGAUCCUCGGCUCGCUCUCCACGGUUUCUGGGGAUGGCUUGGGACUCGCGCUUUCACUACUCGUCCGCGUCCUACCGAUAUUGUAACGGAUCGGUCUUCGGCUUUUGCCGGAAUGGCUCACGGACUCACGGGCUUCGUAGGGCGCUGCACGGGGUUUUAAACCAAAAAACGGCGGGGUUCUGUUUAAUGGAGAAGACAUCGUAGAUAAUACCAGGCUUGGAACCAAAACGGGAGUAUUCAGGGGUUACCUGAUGUCCACUUCGCCUUCUUGCAAUCCACUUCUCGUCACUACUCUCCUCUUUCACUAAUCCACUUUCCUUUCACUAUGCUUUCAAAGUCGUCCUUUCACUAUCGUUCAAAGUCAAACUGUCUUCGCUGAAGAACUUUUUCUAAGUGAAAAGGAUUUGGAACAUCGGUUGACUGCAAGGUUCUUGACCUCGUUCCGCGGUCAUUGCCCCCUCAGGGCAUAUGUACAUUCCUUAAUGGCCCCAUUACGCCACCCCUCAUGGCCGCUCCCAGAAUGGUAACCGUCCAUCUGGCGGUGGGUUUCGGUACUUCGGUGGGUGGAUGAUGGCGGUCAUCUCGUAGGGUGGUGGAGCCUGAUCCUAGCUAGCCCUACGGCUGUCGGGAGAUUAGCUGGGAAAAACCUACAUUCAUAACGAAUACUACCUGCCAUGUAUAUACACAUUCACGGUUCACACAAAAUCACACUAACUUCUCGGUAGUACUUACGACACGAAUUAUACAACACUUACACUCUCCCCCAGCUCGGGUAAAAAAAUAUUUACAGAGUAAAUAUUUUUUUCUUUCUCACAAAUCACAUUAGUUUUCACCGACUACACCUAAUUCUGAACCUGCACAACACGAAAAACCAUCACUAGACCGUAUUAACUUCCUUGACUGUAGACCACGCAACAUUUCACUCAUGACGUACUAGAUUAAACAUAGACCAAUUAACAGUAAAAAAUGUGAAUUUGGCACUAAAUUGUAACGGUUCGUAGUACCCCCUCAGCAGGUUGGGGAGAUUUUGUCGCGGUCUAGUGUAGUUUUCGUCUGCUUGUAUAUUUAAAAUUCAGGAAAGUGUUUGUGUUGUUUGUUUCCACUCUUUGUGUUUGCUAGUCACCCGAAAAGGACGCAGCCAUAGAUAGCAGCUACCAUCAUCCUUCAACAUUAGCCACCAGAUGCCUCUGGCUUGCCUGAAUCAUGGACGUAGACGUUGGUAGCGAAAGGAGGCCAUUAGGAUCUUGGAGAUCUUCAAUUGACCUAAGAAACGGCCAUUUGCCCAAGUGAUCGACACUCGUGAAGUCCGUUGUACUUGUAGUGUCUAAUGUGUUCCUAUUGUGUGUGUAAAUGAUGGAUUCCAAGGACACAGGUAAUCUAGAAUCUAGAUAAUUCCAUGAACCAUAUAAUACCUGGAAUUCACACCCCCCCCCUCACACAGAACCCCGAGGUUUUACUAUAAACCGUAGUUAACCGUGGUGAACCCUAACCCCAAAAUGGGUCACCCUCCGCCGUGAAGACAUCCGGCGAAGACUUGGGCAGAUGAAGAUCCGGCCAUUCGCUACUCCAGGCCGAGGACCAACCUGAGGCCCAUUCUCCAGCGGUCGCAGACACUCCGGUUCGAUUGGGCGGCAAAAGUCGCAACGGACAUGGGAGAAGAGGAAGGACGAUGAAGAAGAGGAUCGGUGGAUGAUGGCGGCAGCAGGAAAAAGGGGCCCCGAAGAAAGAAGGUCAGAUUAGAAUAAGAAAGUGGGUAGAGUAGGGUGAAAGUAGAUAGCUAGAAGAUAGACAGAAAGUGCACAAACGUUAGCCAAUAAACAGGAGUGUGAAAAGGCAAUCCAAGUGUUUUCCUGAAUCCGCGAAAUAGAAAGGAUAAGCGUGCCGACCUUGAGAUGUGAGGUCCUAAUACAGAGUUAGCCGCUGGGAAGGGUCACCUUCUGUGACCCUCUCCUCAGUCAACGGUAGCUGUGGCAACCGCCAUUUGUUACACUUGGCGCCCAAACAAAAUAGUCUUACCAGCUAUUUUACGGGUUCAGCUCGGGAAUCACUUGAGAGUAAGCCAUCACUACCGAAGUCUCUGGUAAAACUACCGAAACUUCACAGAACUGAUUAGCAAUCUACCAAAUUCACUCGUACUUACGUGCAUGUUAAAUUUUUCAUUCAACUCGGAGGGGU